AAGGAUCAUUACUGAGUGAGGGCCCUCUGGGUCCAACCUCCCACCCGUGUUUAUUGUACCUUGUUGCUUCGGCGGGCCCGCCUUUAUGGCCGCCGGGGGGCUUACGCUCCCGGGCCCGCGCCCGCCGAAGACACCCUCGAACUCUGUCUGAAGAUUGUAGUCUGAGUGAAAAUAUAAAUUAUUUAAAACUUUCAACAACGGAUCUCUUGGUUCCGGCAUCGAUGAAGAACGCAGCGAAAUGCGAUACGUAAUGUGAAUUGCAGAAUUCAGUGAAUCAUCGAGUCUUUGAACGCACAUUGCGCCCCCUGGUAUUCCGGGGGGCAUGCCUGUCCGAGCGUCAUUGCUGCCCUCAAGCACGGCUUGUGUGUUGGGCCCCGUCCUCCGAUCCCGGGGGACGGGCCCGAAAGGCAGCGGCGGCACCGCGUCCGGUCCUCGAGCGUAUGGGGCUUUGUCACCCGCUCUGUAGGCCCGGCCGGCGCUUGCCGAUCAACCAAAAUUUUUUCCAGGUUGACCUCGGAUCAGGUAGGGAUACCCGCUGAACUUAA
rnacentral:rRNA from 1 species